UCUCCGUAGGUGAACCUGCGGAGGGAUCAUUACAGAGCUCAUGCCCUACCGGGUAGAUCUCCCACCCUAUGUUAUUAUUACUUUGUUGCUUUGGCGGGCCGUUAGGCUCCGGCCCGAUUACCGGCCCCGGCUGGUAAGCGCCCGCCAGAGGACCCAAAACCCUGAAUAUUAGUGUCGUCUGAGUACUAUAUAAUAGUUAAAACUUUCAACAACGGAUCUCUUGGUUCUG
rnacentral:misc_RNA from 1 species